GGCAGCAGUGGUAGAGCACUCCCCUAGUACGGGAGUGCUCAUGCGCUGGGGGCUUUCGAAGAACGCCAGCGCCGCCGCCA
rnacentral:tRNA from 1 species